CAGUCGCCACGGGAAUACGUAGGUGGCAAGCGUUGUCCGGAAUUAUUGGGCGUAAAGGGCUCACAGGCGGUUUCUUAAGUCUGAUGUGAAAGCCCCCGGCUCAGCCGGGGAGGGUCAUUGGAAACUGGGAAACUUGAGUGUAGAAGAGGAGAGUGGAAUUCCACGUGUAGCGGUGAAAUGCGUAGAGAUGUGGAGGAACACCAGUGGCGAAGGCGACUCUCUGGUCUGUAACUGACGCUGAGGAGCGAAAGCGUGGGGAGCGAACAGGAUUAGAUACCCCCGUAGUCCCUGUCUCUUAUAC
rnacentral:rRNA from 1 species